rnacentral:rRNA from 1 species
UACAGAGGGUGCGAGCGUUAAUCGGAAUUACUGGGCGUAAAGCGUGCGCAGGCGGUUCGUUAAGUUCGAUGUGAAAGCCCCGGGCUCAACCUGGGAACUGCAUUGGAAACUGGCGAGCUUGAGUAUGGCAGAGGGGGGUGGAAUUCCGCGUGUAGCAGUGAAAUGCGUAGAUAUGCGGAGGAACACCGAUGGCGAAGGCAAUCCCCUGGGCCUGCACUGACGCUCAUGCACGAAAGCGUGGGGAGCAAACAGG